AGCAGCCGCGGUAAUUCCAGCUCCAAUAGCGUAUAUUAAAGUUGCUGCAGUUAAAAAGCUCGUAGUUGAAUUUCGGGACUAAUAUGUCGGUCGUGCCUCGGUACGUACUGGUAUUUUUGGUUUCUCCCUUCUGACGAACCUUGAUGUCAUUAAUUUGGUGUCUUGGGAAAUCAGGACUGUUACUUUGAAAAAAUUAGAGUGUUUAAAGCAGGCUUACGCUUGAAUACAUUAGCAUGGAAUAAUGAAAUAGGACGUUUGAUUCUAUUUUGUUGGUUUCUAGGAUUGACGUAAUGAUUAAUAGGGAUAGUUGGGGGCAUUAGUAUUCAAUUGUCAGAGGUGAAAUUCUUGGAUUUAUUGAAGACUAACUACUGCGAAAGCAUUUGCCAAGGAUGUUUUCAUUAAUCAAGAACGAAAGUUAGGGGAUCGAAGACGAUCAGAUACCGUCGUAGU
rnacentral:rRNA from 1 species